ACCCAUGGAUAAAAAAGAAUUAAAUUGAGUUGUGCAGUCAAAUAAUACAUUAAAUUACAUUAAAUUUUAAUACAUGAUCUAUUUUAAAUAAUACAUCCUACAAAAAGUGUCUUUUAACAUAUAAUUCCACAACCAUGACCACCACUGCUACUGCUCCAACCAAGUUCUAUCCGCCGCUGCUACGGCCACCAUACCGCUACUUUGACCACUAUUCUCCGCCCAUUGUACCACUGCUCCGACAACCGUACCUCGAUUUCAAAGCUGCUCUAAAAUCCCUUCCCAACUCAGAACACUUCAAGAAGCCGGAAAGUGCGAAUCCCGUACCUCGAUUUCAAAGCUUAUCUGACUUCAGCUCCUCCACUGCUCCGACAACCACUUCAAUUUUUGAGAAAAUUUGGGCUUCUGUUCUUUAAUUUGGGGAUUUUAAGGUUGGUGUGGUGAAGAAAUCAGCUACGAAUGCAUUGCGUUGUGUUGAGAAGUGGAUGGCCCCUCAAAAGGAAAUCUCAUAUAACCUUCCAGCUUUUCCCAGCCACUUCCCACCUUAUCUGGACAAGUAUGACGUGGAAACAUGUAGAACCUUGAUGAAGAGAGAAUUCAGAAAAAUAGUAGCAGCGAGGAUGAGGUCAAAUAAGUCAGUCCGACUUAAUGCAGUACCACAGGUGGCUAUCAAGAGGGUAGCGGGUGGCGAGUUCGGGCCAUGCAAUGGACAAACAUGCAUAGGAAUCGAUUAUGUGCUCAUGGAAACACAAUUUUCACCCGUUCUGGUAUUAAUGGCAGAUGAGCUAUUAUAUUUACCAUUUCCCUCUUUCUUUCUAAAAGUUCUAUUCUAUUUUCUCUUUUAGGCAGAUAGUGUAGCCACCUAUUUAUUAUUGUAAUUUCUAGUAUUCUAGAUCUAACUUUUGAAGAAGUACAUCAAGAAAUUUUAUGGUGAAAACCUAAAAACUUUUAAAAAUCUCGCUAGAAUUGUGAACAAGCGCCACUUUGAUAGAGUACUCAAUCUUCUGAAAGAUCCGAAAGUUGCAGCAGCUGUUUUUAUGGAGGCUCAGUAGAUGAGAAAAAUAUAUAACCCCUCAGUAUCCUAUUCUACUAUGUAACGAGAAAAAGUAAACAUCUACACAGGUAAAGAAAGACAACAGUACUGCUGUUUUAUCUUCUUGUUUGCUUACUGAACUUACUUGUAAGCCAUAAAAUUUUCAGGUGAAUUAUUCAUUUAUAUUACUACGCCUCACUUUUAUAAAGUGUAGGACGAACAAUUACCUGAACACUAGAGUGUUCUUGGAAAACUUAAACCUGAGAAAAUAACCAAGAGCGACUUGGCAUAUGCUAGUUGUAGGCAGACUACUUCUUAAUUCAGCAAGCAUUUAUUAAAUCUGGAUUUCUCGUCUGUUUGGGAUUGAAGUUUGUGUUGUUGUUCAUGCUUGUUGCUGCUGAUGUCUUUUUAAUCUGUUUGUGUCGAGGGCCUAGUGGAAACAAUCUAACCUUCUCAAGAUAGGGGUACACUACCCUGACGAGGAUGUUUAUCUGAGCCCCCCUUAGAUGGGAAUUUACACUAUUUAUACAUUUUUUUAAAAAUCUAUAUACAAUAGAUUUAUCCCGAGCCGAGCAUAUAUUAGAAACAGGUGCUCUACCUAUAAGGUAGAGGUUUCAUUUGCAUGCACUCUAUCCUCCCAGACACAGACUUACUUGCGGGAUUACACUGAACUUCUUGUUCUUAUUGUGUGUUUAAUGUGCGGAAUAUAAUUGACUUCUAUUUUAGGAUUAUGGUGUGGUAGUUUUAUUUAUACAGAACAUGUUGGUUUUCUUUUUUUGGGGUUCUUCUUCUUCUGUUUAGUGAGUUCAAAAAUAGUUUAUCCGUUAUGAUUUGGGUGUGCUGCUUUUUGGAUUGCUAAUUUGCUUUGCAGUCAUACUAUUUCAGCUUUUGUGGUUUCAUUUCUCCUGCUUAUGUGAGAUUCAGAGUUCUUAUGUUAGCUUUACAGAAUAUUCUUGGUACCAAGCCAAAUAUAGGAGCUGAUUUUGUUAGGUUGAUAGCCUGGCUAAAAUAGUCUAACUAAUAUCAGGAUUUUGCGUAGCUGACAUAAUAAUAAUGGUUAGUGUUCUAUCUUCUACUAAUAGAGCUGAUGAUCGUCGUCUUAUACAUAAUUUAUCUCCAACAUCUCCAAUCUUUACCCAACUUCAUUAAGGCCAGCUUCUGGUUAUAAAAGUGCAUCUAACAGGGGAUCUGAAAAUGCAAAGGUCAAUGCUGCAUUGAGCAAGCAACAUAUGUUACAUGCUUUUUCCAGUCAAUCCUCUCAAGUACACCCGGGUAAAGUUACUCAAGCUAUAGGAAGCAUUAUUCAAGGGAAGGCUUUGUCUAAUCAUGGUCAGCUGAGGGCUCCUCUGCCAUCUGAAAUUGACUUGUCUAGUCUCAGAUCAGGUGCUCCUGAGUGCACUAAUACAGAUAAAGUCAGGCCAAAGGCCAAAGUUUCUUAAUGGAAUAACCCCAAGUGAUGGGAAGGUGAGUCCUGAUACAUUGGCAGAACAGAAUCGAGGACCUCGAAUUGACAAAAUGAAAAGGCAACUGGUUGUGAAGACCUACACUACAAGAGCAGGAAAUGUUGAUGUGCGAGGCAAUGUAGUUGUUCAAGCUGAGGAAGUAUAAUAGAGGUGAUUUUCUGAUGGACUUCGUGAAUGCCAAGUUUUUCGUGAUCAAAUCGUACAGCGAGGAUGAUCUGCAAGUGGGCAGUUUUGUGGUGUCGCUGAAAUGACUGGUCCUGUGGACUUCUACAAGGACAUGGAGAUUUUUGGCAGCAAGAUAAGUGGAGUGGUAGCUUCAGUUACUUAUAGCCAAUUGAACUUUUGAUACUAUGUGGGAAAACUAAUAAUCAUUUGCUUAAAUAUUUUACUUUUCGGUUUAGAUUACAGUUUGUUGUAUAUUUGAAUUUGGAUUAUUAUUAAUGAAAGAUUUUGUUGUGGUUUGUAUA